CCACUGCCCGCUGGUUCUGCAACCCUGCACUGAUUACCAUUAACACACUCAGUAUCUGUUUCUGUAUUAGCCAUAGCUCUAUAGUUUGUGCCCAUCACAUUCUUAUAUUCAUAAAUUAGUACCUGUUAUAUUAGCCAUAGUUCACAUUAAUUCUCUGUACUAUUUUUGUUCUGUUAUUUGUUUGUUGUUUGUUUGUACUGAGCGGGUCAACCCUAGUAGGAUGGGUUCCUCGGACUGAGUCUUGGUUCCUUCCAAGGUUUCUUCCUCUUAAAGGGAGUUUUUCCUUGCCACUGUGUCACCAUAAAAUUGGCAUCUCUGUGGUGCUGCUCAUAAGAGGCGUGGACCUGUUUUUCCUGUAAAGCUGCUUUGUGACAACCUUUGUUGUAAAAAGCGCUAUAUAAAUAAAAUUGAAUUGAAUUGAAUUGAA